rnacentral:piRNA from 1 species
CUCUCAUUCAUAAGAAGUGAACUCUAGGUGAC